UCCGAGUUGACCCCGGCAGUCUCCUUAGAGUCCCCAACUUAACUUGCUGGCAACUAAGGACAAGGGUUGCGCUCGUUACGGGACUUAACCCAACAUCUCACAACACGAGCUGACGACAGCCAUGCAGCACCUGUCUCUGCGCUCCUUUCGGCACUCCCAACUCUCAUCGGGAUUCGCAGGAUGUCAAGGGUAGGUAAGGUUCUUCGCGUUGCAUCGAAUUAAACCACAUGCUCCACCGCUUGUGCGGGCCCCCGUCAAUUCCUUUGAGUUUCAAUCUUGCGAUCGUACUUCCCAGGUGGAUUACUUAAUGCUUUCGCUCAGACACCAACAGUGUAUCGCUGAUGUCGAGUAAUCAUCGUUUAGGGCGUGGACUAC
rnacentral:misc_RNA from 1 species